CCCGGGAGGUGGAGGUUGCAGUGAGGUGAGAUCGUGCCGUUGCACUCCAGCCUCGCCACAGAGCGAGACUCCAUCUCAAAAAAAAAAAAAAAAAAAAAAGACAUUUGCCCAAGGGUCAUAGCUGUAGAGGGGCAGAUGUGGUUUGAACCCAGAGUGUCUGGUUCCUCUCUGGAAGCAACCAAAGUGCCUGUGAUUGGGGUAGUGACAAAGCACUCUGAGCUGCUGCAUGGCAGAUGCUGUGAAGAGUCAUCUUUGCCUGUCCCAUUAUCUAUUCCCAUUUUUUCUGAUUGCAACACCUUGUUUUUUUGUGUGUGGUGGGGGAACCAUGCCCUUUAACCAAGCUAUGUGGUGUUCAUAAAGGUAGCCCCUCCUCCGACCCCAGGAGUGGCAGUUCACAGCCCUGACUGAUCACAGUGUUCCGUGGCCUAGCCGUAACCACCCCAGGGAGUGAGACUGAACUCAGGGUUCACUGGACCUAUUAGGAAAGAGAGACCUUUCUUGCUUCUGAACUUGGAGCUGUGAUGAAGUAAGUGGGUCAGGGGCCAACACAUAGAGAGCGUUGACCUACAAAUGCAGCCCAGGCAGAGGACCGUGCGGCCAAGCCACACAGAGAGACAACUUUCUAGUGACACGCUGUGAACACCUGCAUCCACCCCUGCCUGAACUGGAGCUUUUCCUCUUCAGCUCUUCAGUUAUGUGAGGCAAGAUGUUGCCUUUUUUGCUUAAUGCUGUGAGUUGAGUGUACAGCAGUUACAAUCAAAGAAUCCUAAAUAAUGCUGCAAGCAUGGUGACUAUCUACAUGGGAAUAUGCAGUACUCCAGUGAAAACAAAACAUAAAUUAAUUUUGGAAUCUGAUGACCAUAAUCUAAAAACAUUCAUAGAGGUAUAUAAAAAUUAUAACAAAACUUAAAGUAGCAUAUCUCCUCAUGAAGCAGGUUAAGUGUAUACACACAAAGAAGGAGGAGGAAAAGGUGAGAAAGAAUCUGCCCUUGUGGGGAAGUGACAGAGGCAGAAGAGGCUGAUGCAGUCCUGCAUCCAGGCCCAGCUCUGCCAGCAGCUGAGUACCCCUGAACAAGCUCCCCCACCUCUUCGGGCCUCACUUUCCCCAUCUAUGAAAGAAAGGGAGUCUGGCUUCCAUAGCUGCCCCACCUGAUACGCAAGGUGCCAACGUGUCCUCAGUCCUGUCACGAGAAACCUUUCCCCUAGAAUCCCACGAGGAGCUUCAAAUCCUGUCUGGGAUCCCGACGGCCCAGGUGCUGACCCUGCCUCGGGUUGUGUCUGCUGAGAAGUCUGAUUUCUGCUCAUCUCUCCCCAUUUCUUUCUUCCCAUAAAGUGGGCUGAUGCGCUGGAACGUCGAUGCAGCCAGUGAUGUGUUUGAUGAGAAUGUAUUGAGAGUAAAGCUGCCCAGAAUCCAAGUGUGUGUCAUCUGAAUUCUUGAAUCAUGGAUGGAAGAUGGUGAACCGAAACUUACAGAGCUCAAGUCACUUGACCAGGCUCCACCCCUACAAGAGGCAGCAUGCAAACUAAAACCCAGGCGGCCUUUUCCAAAGCUUCUGCUCUGCUCCACUGCGGGAAGGAACCCUUCGGGGAAUUGAAGCAGCACUGAACAAAGGCCAUUUUUAAGAAGCGACAGCAGAAACCUAAGGCGGGGUCCCCGGCUCAACAAGGAUCUCAUGUUUUGUGGGUCAGAGAUUCUUGUGUCGUGUCUGGGUGAGGUCAAAAACCAUGCAGACUUUCACUUCUUGUUCUGUGGCAGACAAGACAUCUGAAAAGCUCUCCUGCAGCAACACUUCUAGAUGCCAAGUAAAUCACAGCAAAUGCACUUUUAAA